AUGUACCACUCGUACACUCCGGUUCCUGUGCGCCGCCCGCACCCGCCUGACGACUGCUCGCACCGUACUUGCC
rnacentral:sRNA from 1 species